CACAGAGAGCCCUGUGGGUUCCUUCCACACCACACUCUUUGCCCCACCACACUGGCUGCCACAUUAACAGGGAUGCUCAGAGAGACCUUCCACAACGGUCUUUCUUCCCUGAUUUCAAGCCCUCUGAAACAGUUUUUAAAAUAGUAUUUUGGCUCGGAUAUCUAAACAGCUGCAUCAACCCCAUCAUAUACCCAUGCUCCAGCCAAGAGUUCAAAAAGGCCUUUCAGAAUGUCUUGAGAAUCCAGUGUCUCCGCAGAAAGCAGUCUUCCAAACAUGCCCUGGGCUACACUCUGCACCCGCCCAGCCAGGCCGUGGAAGGGCAGCACAAGGACAUGGUGCGCAUCCCUGUGGGAUCAAGAGAGACCUUCUACAGGAUCUCCAAGACGGAUGGCGUUUGUGAAUGGAAAUUUUUCUCUUCUGUGCCCCGUGGAUCUGCCAGGAUUACAGUGUCCAAAGACCAGUCCUCCUGUACCACAGCCCGGGUGAGAAGUAAAAGCUUUUUGCAGGUCUGCUGCUGUGUAGGGCCCUCAACCCCCAGCCUUGACAAGAACCA
rnacentral:sRNA from 1 species